rnacentral:rRNA from 1 species
UACGGAGGGGGCUAGCGUUGUUCGGAAUUACUGGGCGUAAAGCGCGCGUAGGCGGACCUGCAAGUCGGGGGUGAAAGCCCGAGGCUCAACCUCGGAACUGCCUUCGAUACUGCGGGUCUCGAGUCCGGGAGAGGUGAGUGGAAUUCCUAGUGUAGAGGUGAAAUUCGUAGAUAUUCGCAAGAACACCAGUGGCGAAGGCGGCUCACUGGCCCGGUACUGACGCUGAGGCACGAAGCG